rnacentral:rRNA from 1 species
UACGUAGGGUGCGAGCGUUGUCCGGAAUUACUGGGCGUAAAGAGCUCGUAGGGGGUUUGUGGGGUGGUUGGUGAAAACUCACAGCUUAACUGUGGGCGUGCGGGCGAUACGGGCAGACUGGAGUACUGCAGGGGAGACUGGAAUUCCUGGUGUAGCGGUGGAAUGCGCAGAUAUCAGGAGGAACACCGGUGGCGAAGGCGGGUCUCUGGGCAGUAACUGACGCUGAGGAGCGAAAGCGUGGGGAGCGAACAGG